rnacentral:misc_RNA from 1 species
GAUGAAGAACGUAGCGAAAUGCGAUAAGUAAUGCGAAUUGCAGAAUUCCGUGAGUCAUCGAAUCUUUGAACGCACAUUGCGCCCUUUGGCAUUCCGAAGGGCAUGCCUGUUCGAGCGUCAUUUAUCAACCCUCAAGCCCGGCUUGCGGUUGGGUCCCGCCGUGGGCGACCACGGCGGACCCGAAAGGUAAUGGCGGUGCCCGUGGGGCCCUGGACGCAGCGAGCUUCUCGGCACGCGUCCCGGCGGUCCCCGGCGCCGUCUCCACCAAUCCACCACGCAGAUUGACCUCGGAUCAGGUAGGGAUACCCGCUGAACUUAAGCAUAUCAAAAGCGGAGGA